CCGAGUUUACAACUCCCAAACCCCAUGUGAACCUUACCUCUCUGUUGCCUCGGCGGGACACGCCCCGGGCGCCCGGCCCCGCGCCGGCCCCGGACCCAGGCGCCCGCCGGAGGACCCAAACAAUUCUGUUUCUACCAGCGGAUUCUUCUGAGUGGCUAUAAGCAACAAAUAAAUCA
rnacentral:misc_RNA from 1 species